rnacentral:rRNA from 1 species
GGAAUAUUGCGCAAUGGGGGAAACCCUGACGCAGCGACGCCGCGUGAGUGAUGAAGGCCUUCGGGUCGUAAAGCUCUGUCGUAAGGGAAGAAUGGGUUGCAGGUUAAUACCCUGUAGCCGUGACGGUACCUUACAAGAAAGCACCGGCUAACUCCGUGCCAGCAGCCGCGGUAAUACGGAGGGUGCGAGCGUUGUUCGGAAUUACUGGGCGUAAAGAGCGUGUAGGCGGCCGACUAAGUCUGGUGUGAAAGCCCGGGGCUCACCCCCGGAAGUGCGCUGGAAACUGGUUGGCUAGAGUAUGGGAGAGGGAAGUGGAAUUCCUGGUGUAGCGGUGAAAUGCGUAGAUAUCAGGAGGAACACCGGCGGCGAAGGCGGCUUCCUGGACCAAUACUGACGCUGAGACGCGAAAGCGUGGGGAGCAAAC